GACGAACGCUGGCGGCGUGCUUAACACAUGCAAGUCGAACGAAGAGCGACGGAAGCUUGCUUCUAUCAAUCUUAGUGGCGAACGGGUGAGUAACGCGUAAUCAACCUGCCCUUCAGAGGGGGACAACAGUUGGAAACGACUGCUAAUACCGCAUACGAUCUAACCUCGGCAUCGAGGAUAGAUGAAAGGUGGCCUCUACAUGUAAGCUAUCUCUGAAGGAGGGGAUUGCGUCUGAUUAGCUAGUUGGAGGGGUAACGGCUCACCAAGGCGAUGAUCAGUAGCCGGUCUGAGAGGAUGAACGGCCACAUUGGGACUGAGACACGGCCCAGACUCCUACGGGAGGCAGCAGUGGGGAAUCUUCCGCAAUGGACGAAAGUCUGACGGAGCAACGCCGCGUGAGUGAUGACGGCCUUCGGGUUGUAAAGCUCUGUUAAUCGGGACGAAGGGCCUUCUUGCGAAUAGUGAGAAGGAUUGACGGUACCGGAAUAGAAAGCCACGGCUAACUACGUG
rnacentral:rRNA from 1 species